rnacentral:rRNA from 1 species
CCUACGGGAGGCAGCAGUGGGGAAUUUUGGACAAUGGGCGCAAGCCUGAUCCAGCAAUGCCGCGUGAGUGAAGAAGGCCUUCGGGUUGUAAAGCUCUUUUGUCAGGGAAGAAAUGGCUGAGGCUAAUAUCCUCGGCUAAUGACGGUACCUGAAGAAUAAGCACCGGCUAACUACGUGCCAGCAGCCGCGGUAAUACGUAGGGUGCAAGCGUUAAUCGGAAUUACUGGGCGUAAAGCGUGCGCAGGCGGUUUUGUAAGUCUGUCGUGAAAGCCCCGGGCUUAACCUGGGAAUUGCGAUGGAGACUGCAAGGCUUGAAUCUGGCAGAGGGGGGUAGAAUUCCACGUGUAGCAGUGAAAUGCGUAGAGAUGUGGAGGGACACCGAUGGCGAAGGCAGCCCCCUGGGUCAAGAUUGACGCUCAUGCACGAAAGCGUGGGGAGCAAACAGGAUUAGAUACCCUGGUAGUCCACGCCCUAAACGAUGUCUACUAGUUGUCGGGUCUUAAUUGACUUGGUAACGCAGCUAACGCGUGAAAGUAGACCGCCUGGGGAGUACGGUUCGCAAAGAUUAAAACUCAAAAGAGUUAGUGGCGNGNGAGAGCGACGACGACGACGACGGAGGAGGAGG